rnacentral:misc_RNA from 1 species
GAUGUCACCGCUCAGAUGUCAACAAACCCCUGGCUGAAGGAGUUGAUUGCCCGUCUGUCUCGUCUAUCUCUAUUUCUUCGCCUUUUGCAGAUGCGAGGAGGCGGGGAGGGAAACGAGUAUGCAUUUUUCAAUUCCGGAUACCCAAGAGUGUAGAGAAGACAAUGGGAGCACUUACAUUGCCUAUAAUAUUCACAUCAAUGGAGUUUUCCACUGCACGGUGCGCUACAGACAACUGCACAGCUUACAUGAACAGCUGAAGCGAGACUUAGGGGGUUCUACUCUGCCUCCUUUCCCUCCGAAAAAGCUUCUCCCUCUUUCUCCCUCACAGACUGAGGAACGCAGGCUCAGUUUAGAAAAAUACAUCCUUCAAUUAAGCCAAGACCAGAGAGUACUGAACAAUGAUGUGUUCAACGGGUUUCUCGUAUCUGCUCAAAAUGAGACUCAGCGUGCUGGGGGUAGCCAGGACGAGGUGCUCAUUGACAUAUACCUGAUGAAUGGCCAGAAGAUUACACUCAGCAUUCCCGCCACCUUGCAAACAGAUGACCUUUUGGAGAAAGUUUGCAGCCACAUACAUUUGCCAAAUGAAUUAGUCUACUAUUUUGCACUUUUUCUGGUCAAGAAGGAAGAAAAUGAUCUGAUUGUCGUGAAACGGUUACAAGAUUUUGAGAGCCCAUACAUCUCUCAAAGAUGUGUGAAGGGGAUGCACAGGAUAGUACUCAGAAAAAAUUACUGGGACCCAAGCAUAGACCUUGAGGUCAUGAACAACUGUGUAGGGCUCAACCUGCUGUAUGCACAGACAGUACAGGAUGUGGAGAGAGGGUGGGUCCUUACUAACCGAGAGAUCCAGCGACAGUUGGCAGCCCUACAGGCUAAGGGAGCAAAGAAAGAAUACAUGGAGUUGGCAAGAGCGCUGAAGUAUUAUGGUUAUUUGCAAUUUCAACAGUGUACAUGCAACUUUCCUAAACCCAACACCCCUGUGCUCAUCAGUGCUGGCAACCGAGAGCUGAACUUUAGGAUUGAAUGUGAAGAUGGCUCUGUAAAAGAAGGAAAUUUCAAAGUCACACGUAUGAGAUGUUGGAGAAUAACAGUACAGCAACCUAUUGAAGGAUCGACCAGCAGCAGCAGCACCAGUAGCAGUACGAGCACGAGUACAAGCACAAACACCAGUACCAGCAGUAGCAGCACUAGCAGUAGCAGUAGCAGCAGUAGAAGCAGCUGCAGCAGCUUGGAGGGUGGGCGGAAUGUCAACUUAGAGCUCUCCUUUGAGUAUCUCAUGAGUCGUGAGGACAUGCGGUGGGUGACAGUGACAAGCCCCCAGGCUGUCCUCAUGUCCAUGUGCCUCCAGGGAAUGGUGCAAGAGCUCCUAACGCGCAAACGUGGACACAAAGUCCGGACUCCAAGUAAGCGGGUUCGCAAAGGUAGUCUUUCAUACAUGCGAAGAGAUGGAAGCAGCACACAAGUGACACUUAACCAUACAGGCGAGAACCUGCCAAUGGAUGGAGCCACCCAGUCUCCCAUCGGCGAACUGUCACUCAGUCGGCUGAGCGAACGUCUGAGUGACCUCAACAUCCUCGACAACCGUCCGCACUCAGCCAUGCGCACCAACGGAGAAGCCGAGCCAAGCACAGUGGAAAAUGAUGCAUUUAACAUUUUGAGCGACAGUUCUCUGCCAUGAAAGGUUGGAGCUGCUGGGUGGAGAGGGAGACAGAGAGAGAAGGAAAUGUGUUCUAAAUUAAUGAUUUUAUUUUUUAAACACAAGCAGAGGGAAGUUGCAUAUAACAGAGAUAACUUGAUAUAUAUUUGGUGUAGAGGGAAAAUGUAAAUGAUAAUAGAGAUACUUUUGAUAAGUAGAUGAGAGUUUUUUUGUUGGUCAUUGGUUUGCUGUGGUGCAAGCAUGAUUUUAUUAUUUUUAUUCAUAAUUAUGUAAUUUAUUUGAGGCAUUCACUUUUUCAUUUUUAUUAUUACUUACAAUUGAAUCUGAUAUUUUGUUGCUUGUUUCCUCCCACUUUUUUCAGGGGAAGAACCUAAUUCAUAUAGCUUUUUCACCAUGAUUAUCAGGGCUUGUAUAUUUCCAUAUAUUUAGAGAAAUAUUCAGUAGUACAGUGUGUUAAUGGUAUAUAUAUACUUAUAUAUAUGCUAGCUAUAUAACUUGUCUAUCAGGUAUGCAUAAGUAGUGUCAGUUUUUUACAAGAAUCAUUUUACAUAAUGUUUAUACUUUUUUAUUAUUUUUAUUAUUUUUAUCAUAUAUAUAUAUAUAUAUUCUUCUUCUUCUUCUUCUUUUUCAAUUACUGAAGAUGAUUCCAUUUCUUCAAACAAAUAUUUUGUACAUUCACAGAAAGAUAUGUUUCAGGGGACCAAAGAAAUCAGAAUGCUAUAUAUACAGUAAUGUUAACAGUGAUGAUAUUUAAAGAUAGGAGAUAAGAAAUAUUAAAUCAGUGAAGAGUAAUUAUAAUGAAGACAAAAGAAUACAUAUCAUUUGUGAAUGCUGUUGAAUAUUUGUUAUGCCAGUUUUUAUCUUUUAUUUUUAUGAUUUUUAAAACUUUUUUAGGGUUUGCUUGUUUUUAUCUUUCAGUAUUGAACAAAUAUGAGAAUAUGAAUCUGUUAUUAUAGACUCAUGAAGCAUGUUAUACAGUAAAUAUUUUAGGAACUUUUAAAGUGAGAUUUGAGGUUUGCAAAGUAUGUGUUGUUAUUUUUUGUACCUUUUAAGAUUCCACAUUUCUAGAAUUAUAUAAAAAGUUCAUGAAUUUUAAAUGACAUAUUUAUGUCAGAACCAUGAUUGAUACAUGAAAGUAUUUCACUGCUUUGAUGCCUCCAUAGAAACAGAACUUGAUGUAAAUAACAUUACCACAGGUUACACCAAAAAGACUGCACAUUUACCACAUUCUUCUCACACAUCAUAAGAGCCUCAAACGCUUGUAAAAUUCCCUUGGGAGGACUGAGAUUAUGAAUCCUCGCCCAGUUCCCCACUGAAGUGUUCUGAAGGGAAUCCAAGGAAGAAACAGAUGUUGCGAGGCUGUAAACCUGAUGCAACUGUUGUGUGACAAGUGUUUAAGGCAAGUUAUUUUUCACUUUUCUUGUAAUACUUUAAUUGGUGACUUCCCUGUGUUUCUUUUAUUUAUUCUCUCACUUCUUCCUGCAGUGUUCUUGGCUUGCCUCUUAUUCUUUCAUCUUAUACCCCCAUUAAAGUCUUUUCUCCUGUCAACUUUCACUUCCUUGGACCUAGGGAUCCUGUAUGAAUGGUCAUCUGACAUUCAUUUAUAUAGCCUCUCUUUUGUCUUUCAUUUUUUAGUAGUUAU